GAGGCCCAGUCCCAGUGAGGAGCCUCCGAGUCCCAGUCCCAGUGAGGAGCCUCCGAGUCCCAGUCCCAGUGAGGAGCCUCCGAGUCCCAGUCCCAGUGAGGAGUCUCUAAGACCCAAGUCAAGAGAGUCUGAGGAGGUGGCAUCUAUGCAGUGAAGUAAUUUUAAGAAGUAUAACGCUGCUUCUGUUUGAAGAUCGAUUGCUUCUGCCCUUCCUUAAUUUCGAUUAUGUGAGAAACUCCUCUGGAAUACAAAUGUCUCCAAUCUCGCUUACAACACAGAUUUCUUUCAGAAGUGGAAAUUCCCACGGGCCCCACUCUCUCUUCUCCUAACCCCCAGCCCCCUUAGAGUGUGGAGGUCCCAGUGCUCUACGGGAAGCUCUGUGUGAUGAAGGUGAAGGGACGGUGGAAACGCUCAGAGCAGGCAUGUGAGUUUUAAACACGGCUGUCACCUGGCUGGAGGGUGCGCUAACAGCUGGCAGGGAACGUGGCUAUGACAGUCCCGCCUGCAGGAUGAGGCCUAGGUGAGAGAUGGAUCCUCCCCUAUAUGCAGGCAUUAAAUCCCAAGUACGAUUCUGCCAUUGGAGCCAGGGUUUCUAGCUGUAAUGUGAACAGCACACAAACUGAAUAGAUGACCCUUUGCUCAGUGCCCGGAAUUAUGCUCUGAACUUCUUGGAAAGAGCAAGGAUUGCUAUUCAAAAGUAGAAUAUGUUUUGAAAUAUUAAAAUAGAAAGUCUGCUCCUUGGAGCCCUAACACAAAGUGAGGGCAUCUGGGCCAUCCUUGUAUUCGCCAGUGUAUCUUCUCGUGUGAAAUGGCAGCUGCUGGUGUGGUGAGUGAGUUUCCUAUUUCUAGCUCGCAUAUUUUAAAGGCACCUACAUUCAACACAAAAUUUUAAACACAAAGAGGAGGUGCAGUGUCAGUGGUCUCAGCCCAACUGUGUGGAAUCAUCUAGAACCUUGCUGUCCGUCCACCCCUUUCACCUCUGUCUGGCUGGGUCAUCUCUGGAGUUAGCAUGCUUCCUUUACAGCACGUUUUCCCAAAGGUGUCUGCAUAUUUUGUUUUAGUAAAAUCAUUUUUUUCUAUUUCCGCUCUUUAGAAUGAAAAUGCAAAAUACUUCCCUUUCAAUUAGUGUUUGCUUUUUAGUGCUCUUGUUUAAAUUUUCCCAAACUCAGAAAAGUGGCUGUUUCUCAGACUCUGCUAUACACACUCACGCACACAGACAGAAAAGUGGCUGUUUCUCAGACUCUGCUAUACACACUCACGCACACAGAGAGAAAAGUGGCUGUUUCUCAGACUCUGCUAUACACACUCACGCACACACAGAAAGCUGAGGGCGGAGGUGUUCAGCCCACUCUUUCGCCAAGUAUUAGAUGUGACCUAAACGUUCAGAAACGUUUGAGGUUGCUCCGUUACUGAUUUGGUGAUGGCACCGGUGGAGGCAGGAUUGGUCAGCUUUCCAUGGGAAGAUUCACACUGCAGUGCGCACUGCCAGCUGAGAGGGUGAUCAGGACACACUGCAGACAGCCCAGCAGGAACAGCGGGGACAGCACGCAGAGCAGGCCAUCAUCUGCCGGGGAUGCCAACCACACAAAGCAGUGCCCUGGGAUGCUGCCCUGGAAGAAUGGCCUUUCGGCUCGGGUCCCUGGGGAGGGGCACGUCAGCUUCUUGUGGAACAGGUCCUUCUUAGGAGCUUGACAUCUGCCUUCCCCACGGAGCGGCUCUGCCUGUGCUCCCUCCUUGCUAGGGCUGAUCUGGAAAACCACAGUUCUCGGAGCAGUGCCAGGGCAUGAGCAGAAUGGGUCCAGCUACGUGGGUCCCUCCGCCUUCGUGCUUUGCCAAGCAUUUCCCUACCUGCUGGGGACAUUUCCUAGCUUUCUCCCCGAGACCCAGCAUCAACGCGAUGCACACCUCAUCUCCAACCUCCAGUGCUGAUGAAACACAAAUCCUCCUUGGUCUGGAGAUCGCAUUCAAGAUUGCAGAAAAUACCGAGCCUCCCUUGUAUUUCCAAGCAUAUAGAGUAGAAACUUUCAUCUCAGGGAAACGAAAUCAGUCUUAUUCCACGCGUGAUUAGCUUUGUUAUAUGACUUCAGAUGUUACAACAUGAUUCGCAAGGAACGCUCAUGAUUGCUGCUGGCUGCCUUCCCUGAUUCUGCCCAUUUCCCACCUGUUAGGGGUCUUUUCAAGGAGGACCCAGGAGGCCUGCAUUCCUACUCUUGCAGGACGGGCGCCCCUGCGGCCUGGGCCCCCAGAGAGACGCAUGCAUGUAAGAUGACGGUGCCUGAGGAAGUGGAAGGAGGCCAUGUGAGGGACCUGGGGACCUGGGUCUUCAGGGUGGGGACAAGACUCUGAGAGGCCAGGCAGAGCUGGCAGUGCUGUUCUUGCUGGAGGGGCCUCUGUGACAUGCUAGGGCAUCCUGGCUUCGUGGCCCUAGAAUGGCCUGUCUCUGGGCCCUCAUGAAGAUUCCCUGUACUACUGUCCGUGAAUAAACUUUCUGCUUAUACCAGCCACUGUGGAUUCCACGGACUGCAACCAAAACCUCGUCCUGUACUUUCUAAGCACCUUCAGUAUUAUCACUUGAGGAAUGGUUACUAGUAUACGCGUUUCUUAUGAAAUGUACCCCUCUGAUAUCCUGACAGCACAGCACACAGGCGCUGAGAGUGCAUGUGAUACUUCUUUGCUUCUGUACAGUGGCACCAACUCAUUUCAGAAUGGCUCGCACACAGCCAGUUUAGAGACCGUCUAAUUAAGAUACAGGUACUGAUGAGGUGCUUCAGGGAGAACAGCACUGCGGGAACUGGAAAACACACAUGCUUUCUUCAAAGUGAUUCUCUGAGGGCUGUUCCUCCAAGAAUCGAACCAGGACUGAACACCCUUGAGUGUAAAGUGCUCACUCAGUGCGUGUCCCUUCGGAACAGAGCCUGCACUGGCUUUGCGCGCCCCUUCGGAACAGAGCCUGCACUGGCUUUGCGCGUCCCUUCGCAACAGAGCCUGCACUGGCUUUUACGUGGUCACUCAAUUCGAGUUCUUACUCCUUAAAACAGAGUGGAGUCAACUCUAUCUACAUUUAGUUCAGGCGUUUCUGCUGGACUCGAGUCCCAGUUCAACCCCAUCCUGUCCUGCACUGCUGACCUCACAUCGCCGUGAUCUGCCCCCACGUGGCAUCUUCCAUCCUGUGCUGAGACGCAGCGUUGGGGGUGAGUAGGGUGCACCGGCAGGAGCUCUGAGGCUGGCGCGUGGGGUCUGAGUGUCUGGAUGCGUGUGUGGGGACACUGCUUUUGCCCCUUCCUACUACCCACCCUGGAGGGCCUCGUGCCCAUGUGUGCCCUGGAGUCACUCUACAGGGUGGAUGCCCUGCUGUGGGAGUGGGGUCUCCAAGGGCAAUUCUGAGCACAUGCACUUUUGCUGUGACCUGGGAAUGCCGCCCUUACACUUGGAUCUGAGAGGAAAUGGAACAAACACACCCCAUCCUCAAGAUAUAUGAAAGACAGCAAGUCACACUUACAGUGCUCCUGGCACGUCCCAGGCAGGACACAGAGGAUUUCACAUGGAUAAACUUCCUCCUCUACACACGACGAUGACGACUGUUUACCGCAGGCAGUUGUGGGUGGGGGGGGACCGACACCAUGAAGGUGAAACCACCUGCUCAGAGCCAUGUCACAGCCACGUCAGAGCUACGCCAGCCUGAGCCGCCGAGCCAGGGUCGGGUCUGUCUACGCCAGCCUGAGCCGCCGAGCCGGGGUCGGGUCUGUCUACGCCAGCCUGAGCCGCCGAGCCGGGGUCGGGUCUGUCUGGUUCCAAACCCCAGCUCCUGAGCCCUGUGCUUUUAUCCCCGUAGAUGCCUUGGGAAAGAGGGAAGGGAGAGUUUGCUGAGAGAGCUGGGGUGACUUGAGAGAAGUCCUUCCAGUGAACUCUGAAGAACGAACAGGGUUUGCACAGGCAGAAAGCAAAGGGAGUUCCGAGCAGCAGGAACAGCCCACGAGAGGUAAAAGCAGCAAGGGUGGCCCUGUCUGGGCAGCAGCAAAUCAACCGUCUGGUGGGACUGAGGACACGAGGCGAAGAACACUGGGCUAGAAAACAUUAGCUAGGGCUCUGAAUGGGAACUUUAAGUGUGGGCUCAGCGGACAGGCCACAGGGCCCCAGCAGGAGCUCUGAGCAGAGACGGCAGGGUGGAGUGUACUCCAGGAAGGCUAAUGGCAGCUGCACACAGGACGGGGGAUGAGGGACGUGCUGAGAUCUCUGGCAGCUCAGCACCACGUGUACACACAGGGUCCCGCCUCUGCAACCCUCUGCUGAACCCAGCGGAGAUGAGGAGGCACAAGCCCCAGCACAGGAGACGGCUGGCGAUAUAGGCGGUGCACCCAGGAGGGUUUCAGAAUGGGUGGGGGUCAGCUGUGUGCUCGGGCACCCACUGGGCUGACAUGUGGUCGUUCUUGCUGAUCGCAACGGCGCUCUUGGGCCUCGACUCCCACAAAUGGCUAUGUUCUUCUAGGGCAAAACCUGCCUGCUUCACUCUCCUUCCGAGAUCCAGCAUCUUCAGACCACACACUGACCUGCCGAAGCAGGAACUUCCAGGGGCUGGGUUUUCUGUGUGCGCAGAUGGCAGUGCAGCCGUCCGUCGCGCGAGGCUGUCUGAGAAGUUCUGUAGCAGCCAUGGCACAAUGUCUUCAGAUACCCCAAAUGGCUAAGUACUGCGAUCUCCAUUUCCUUUAGAGAAACAGAAUUCAGAGACUUUGCUCUUCAGCAACAACACAAAUACCCGUGAGCGAGGUCUGAUAAAUAAUUUGCAAGAGGUGCAGACGGAACAGUGCUUGUGUGGGGCGUCAGUGAGUCCAGUCGGCCUGGGUGCUUCCGUCGUUUUCUCCAUUCUCCUUUGGCAAAAUCUCCUGCCCAGACACAGAGCCGCUGUCACCUCCCUGGGUCCUCAGGACAGCGAACGCCGAGGGCUUCCCUCACAGCCCGUUUAGCACAUUCCGUGCGCCAGACGGGGCUUACAUCACGCUGUGGAAGCUGAGCCUCCCUCCUGAGACUCCAGUCUCACUGCCAGAGCCCUCACUGUGGUCAAGUCAGUGGCUUCCACUGGAAGGAGAAGCACUUCCAGAUGCAAAAGCAAUUCAGCAUCUACUUCUCAAACUGUGCAUACUACGCCUCUGAAAUAAAAUUUCCGAGAUUGUCUGCAGGGUAGUGAGGAAUCUGAGCAGGCCCAGCGUACUAUUUUACUGUGAUAACCAGGGGAUAAUGAUACACGUCAGCACCCUGGAGAUCCCGGCCACAUGGAGCUUUCUCACACCGGCGACGAGGGUUGCUGCAAGCAUCCCAGCGCAGGCAGGAGCCGAUGCCCAUGGUGGCAGCUCACGCGCCACGCAUCUGUGCCUGCUCUGGAUUAUUCAGUGACAGUCAUCUGCUGUGCCCCACCACAGGGGCCCAUGGACAGGGCUGUCCUCCAACACUAUCUGGUGUCCCGUGUGGAUUUCCACAAGCAGGCAGCGUGCAGGAGAUGGUGUGUGCACAUGUUCCUACGUGUGUUAGUGCAUGUGUGAGCAACUGUGUGGGGGAGGAGAGGACCAGCUGUUAGCGGAGAGAGCGCAGGCCCUGCGUUCACAGAGGCCCUGUUCAAAUUCUAGCUCCCCCGUUAUCUAUGUGGCCUCCUGUCACUGGAUUUUUCACUUCAUCAGGAGACCUCAGUUUGUUGAUCUGUAAAACAAGCUAGUCACACCGUGAGGUGAAACGCUCAGCACGGGGCCUGGCUCACGGUGAGUGGGUGCCUGUGGAAGGUCUGUGCUGCUUCUCCCCCCUUAGCGGUCCCUUGCUUGUGACUCCUUUCCCUGGCCCAGGUUUGGGACGUGACCUCAGAAGACUGAGGGUGGACGGGGCGGAAGCUGCCCUGUGCUCAGCCUGCAAGGGUGAAAGACUGACAGGGAUGUGGGCGGCACUCAUCUCUCCCCGUGACCUCCCUGUCACCAAAUAUCCCAGGAAAAUGCAUUCCAGCUUCAAGGACAUUCUUAGCAAAGGGGGUCCUGUCCCAGCUUUGUGCAUUAUUGAGACCACCGUUCAGUCUGGACUUUGUCCAGCAAACAUGAUUCAAGGGUUCUUCAGGCAAAAUAUCAGCAAGUGACUAUUAUGGGCUAAGCUGAACUAAGAUUCCUCACGGUUCAGUCAGCGCUUUUGUAACUGCGGCAGGACAGUGUCUAGAGUAACUUGUUUCAGUGCGGCUGCGAUACACUUUCUGUGGGUUCACCUUUAGCAACAGGCACAAAAGCCAGUAGGGCCUCCCACAGUCCAACCAGAACCCUGGAAAGCACCCCCGCUUUUCAUGGUCACACACACUGGAACUGGGCCUCCCACAGUCCAGCCAGAACCCUGGAAAGCACCCCCGCUUUUCAUGGUCACACACAUUGGAAUUGGAAUCUUUUCUGCAGUCUUUCUCAUAUUAAAAUGAUUAAAAGCAAACAGUCGCACAUCCAAGCAAAGAACUCCUAUCAUAAGGCCCUUUGCCUGUGCCUCUGGCUCACAUCUGAGCGUGCCCACGUACCUGCAGGGAAAUCCGGCCGAUGCCGCUGAGCAGCUGGGGCUCUUGCUCUGGGUAAUACUUGAUAACCGCAUGGUACGCCUCCACGGCGAGCACAUAAUCCUGCGGGAAGAAAAACCCAGCGUACCUCAGGGCUGAGAAAAGCACUGCGGGUUUCACACGUGUAGAAGAGCACAAGCGUAUACAGACGCGGUGUGGAGAGAGGACACGCUGACACACGAGCCGGCGGGGAAGCUGGAAACCAGCACGCGGCGCUCGGCUGGGAGGGGGCGGCUGCUCUCCCAACUGCAGUCAGGCCGGGAUUCUGAGCUGUAUGCGUCACGCAGGCGGGGUCCUGCCUGUCAUCGGGGGCUGUCGGGGUUUAGUUGGGCCUGAGGGUCUGUUUCCUGCUUCCAUCUUCUAAACAGCAAUUCAUAUUUCCCUUGGACCGCACCUAACUCUCUUUCCUGACAAAGUUAUUAUGUGAAUAGGCGAACGCUGUCUCAUCUCCAUCCUCCAAAUACAUAAGCCAAAUUUUUAAAGUGUCUCUUAAACGUUUUCUAUGCUAGAAACUAAGGUCAAAUCUUUAAAUGUAGAGAAAACCCACAAACAACUUUGCCGAGGCUGAGAAUGGCAAUGGGGGUCACCCUUGCAGAGCAGAAUGCGUGAAUGUCGUCUGGUCUCUGUGGCACGCGUGAGACCCUCCCGUUUCGGAGACAGCUACGGGGGAACAUUUAGGAGCGCUGUGCCAGCUGCCAUGCUCAGGGCAUCUGCUUUCUGCCAAGGGCCUUGCUGGAUCCCUCAUCACUCUGCUCUGUCUGUGGUGGUCUGGCCCGCAGCCCCUCCUCAAGGACGAGGCCUGGCAGCACCGUCUCACUGUCCAUCUGCCUGCUCAUGCCGGCCCAUCGCAGGCACUUGGUGGACGCUGAGUGGACCCAGUCACCCUUUCCAGGUGUGAGCAAAGCGGUCUCAGUGCAGGAAGGUCUUGCCAGAGUCAUGUGGGACACAGUGGUAGCUUGUCUCAAGUCCCCAACAAACCCGGGCUCUCUCUAGUAAGACAGUGAUCGCCACAUUUACUGAGCGAGCUCUGUGCAGCAGGCCCUGCACUAAAUACUCCCCUGCAUUCUAGCACUUAGCUAUAAGCACUCGGUCAGCAAUAACGACGGCCACCAAUGGUGUUUUCCUUCUUACUUAUUCAUCGUAAAAUCCCAGAAGGUACUUUUAUUUCUUUAUUCUUCUACAUGUUCCAUUUCCUCCAAACUGGGACUGGAGUUACUAUGCUUGCUAAUUGGGAUGUUACAAAGAAAGACAGACAAGUACAAUUCCAGUUUGGUAGGAAGGAAAAAAAAACCCAAAAAAAACAAAAAGACUGUCUCCAGUCUAGUACCUUCGAGUACAGCUCAUUAAAACUCAUUUUAUUCAAGGCCUGACGCCCAUGAGGAGCCAGACAGCACAUGCCUCAGUCUCCUUUCCCACGCCUUCCUGCUGCCUGUCUCUGCUGUCUAAUUGUGCGAGUGUGAGUGUGUGAGAACGUGCAUGGGCAUGAGAGCGUGUGUGUGUGUGUGUGUGAACGUGCGUGUAUGAGCAUGAGAGCGUGUGUGUGAGCGUGUGUGUGCGUGUGUGUGAGCAUGUGUGAGUUCCCUUGCACAGAGGAGGGCUUUGUGACCUGGCAUGGGGGCACUCGGGGUGGCUGAGGCUGCAGCUGGGAUGGACACGGCACCCUUGAUGCAGAGGCGGGGCCUGCACACCCUGGGCUGGUCCUGAUCGGACAAGUUUAGGGGAGCAGCCCUGCCUUCCAACAGGGGCUGCACCCACCGGCUUUUCCGAUCAGGGAAAAUGGCCAAAAGAAGCUCUUUAGAGAGAGCUUAACCUACUCUCCAGAUCACGUAGAUUUGGCUUUGUGAAGGACAUGAAUGACUUGCUUCCAGGGACAAGCCUAUUUUAGCUCAAUCUUCACCAUUUCUUUUCAGCAGCCACACGUGGUUUACUGGCUGUGAAACUAGAUUUACAACUGUUCUGCAACCAGAAAGGACUUGUGCAGUCUAAUUCCAGCAAGACGGAAGGUAGCUGAUGCAGCUGCCUGCUCCUUUCCAUCAUGUGCGGAGCCAUGGCGGGUGGUGAUGUGCAGACUGGCGAGCUGUGGGGACACCAGGAGGGAAGUGGACUCCCAGGGGCACCGGGGGAGGGGGGCCCAGGCCACCUAAGGUGGCAGGCACCUGCAUCCAUAUAGUCUGCCAGUGCAGGUGCCCUAAGGCUACGGUGAGGCCUAAGGAGAGGAAGCAGUAUUUAAAAAGUGAAGAUAGUGACAUUUUCAAUGCUUUAUAAUACGUGCCACUGUGCAUUGUAGCAUAUCAUGCAGAUUUAUCCAGGGCUAAAACAUAUGAAUACAUUUCAUUGUUAAGAAGUUAAAUUGAUAUUUAUUUCACUGUAAUAAAAAUGUUAUUCAAGAUAAUUAAAUGGCUGAUUAAAUAACUCAUUGUUAGCCCAUACACAUAAUUUAAUUAACAGGAUACCCCCUUAUUAUUAAGACCACACACUGUUGCAAUACCCUGUAUGCUCACUAGAUGGCAAGAGAGUGCAUAUGCUUGGAUUGGCUUUAAUUGCAACAUUUUUUUGCUCCUUUUUUUAACUCAGGAAAAUGAAAGCUUAAGCUGAACUUUCAAAUUAAAUCACGUCCAUUGUAAAAGUAUUUUUGAAAUGCAAUAAUAUGUUCUGUACUGAGUCCCAGCAAUAUAGGAGGAAGACUCCCAUUUGGAGCCUAGUGGUGGUGUUACUACUACAGGGCAACAAAGAAAAGCUCACUCCAUCGUUUUCUAGUAAUGUGUCUUAAAAUGCAAAUAAAAGCCUGCCAGGGGAACAGGGAACUUUCUUCCCUGGGGAGUUUUAGCCCCAUGAUUAGUGAAACACCAGUCCUGUGAAUUUAUAAUUGGUUCUUCAUGUCUUUGCAUAAGAAUGUUCCAGCAAGCUGGUGACUUUCAGGUGAAGCCGAUAGUAUUCUCAGCGGGUAGAGGCCUACUGUGGACCGCCCAGACUGCCAGUGUGCUGAAGGAGAGGAGAGAGCUGUGUGAAUGUCAGAGCUGGGAGGAAUUUCAGAGAUCUCAGAUCUACGCCCUUAUUUUGAAGGAGGACGCUGAGGCUUGCAGCAGUGCGAGGCUGCGUCACGGGUGCUUGCUACCGAGGACGAACAGGAUGCCCUGAGUCUCCUUGUGCGUCCAGCCCGACGCAGCUGCAGAAACUCAAAGGCAGGGGCCCUGCGCUGGGCACUAAAGCCGGGGUGUGUGCUGCACACCUUCCUGACGGAGUGCCUGAGCUGCUGAUGUUUGUGAAUCUACACCCACACCCAGCCUGCUCGGAGCAGUGCCCCCGGCCACAGUCGCCUCUGGGGAUGCUGCAGGGUCCGUGCAUAAAGCAGGGCUGCCACUUCAGGGUUCAUGACGGAGCCUGCGAGCACGGUUCUCCAACCUGGUAAACUGUCUGCUCUGCCUCGCUGAAAAUCAAACUCAGGAACGACCUUGGCCACAUGAAAGCCGCAUGGGUGUGGGAGGAGUUACGAUCACUGUCUUAGAACAGCCCAGGAGGUGGUGUGAGCACUGCUCCGGGGCUUCUGCUGCUAGCUGAUUCCUGCAGCAGCUCUCAGCGUGCACAGCUGGCUGCAGGGCCACUAGCUCCACACAGGGCACCCCGACGCCCAGUGUGGGAGGUGAGCCAGGCGUGCGUGCAUUCCAAACAAAGAGAGGAGCCAAAAAACACCGUUGCACAGGCUAGCGAGAGCCAGGAGACACGGAAAAACAACUGACAGCCUCAGUUCAGCUCCCUGAUUUCUAAGCUGUUUCCUGGGGGCUGAGAGCUCUGGGUGACGUCCUAGGAAGGUCUUGUGGGGAAGCUUGUCUUCAGGUGUUGCGAGCAUCAAUCAUAAAAUCAAAACCAAGAGGCGAAAAAAACACCCUCCACGCAGACAGGGAGAACAAAGGACACCUUCUGGGGAUGGAAUUCAGAGAAAAACGGGGGAAAAUGAACAACGCUUUAAAUUAAAUCAUUUAGACCCACGUUUCAAUAAUGAAAUCUGAUCAUGUAAAUUCUACAUUCUGUUGAAAUUUCUUGCAGUAGAAAUGAAAGUAAAUAUAGCCCCGUAAUGUGUCACUGGGCUCCCUGUGAAGCCAGUGCUUAGCUGGCUUCUCUCAUGGCUACACCGGCCCGUCCCUGCCAGCAUCUAUUAUACCAGCGGCUCCCUCACGGCUCCCACUGACACACCCUCUUCCAGAUCCCAUGGCGGCCCUGCUCGGCCACCCACGUACCUUCAUCAGGAGCAGACAGUUUGCCAUGGAGUACAUCACCCGGCCCAGACGUGACCUCCACAACCGGACAGAGGCUGCAAGGUAAGAGCAGCCUGUGAGUGCACAAAUACAUUUGAGGCUCUUUCUAGCCAUCAAUUAUUGGGUCCUGUGGAUUCUAAUUUAACUUUAAAAGAUCUCUCUUGCUAAUAACCACUGGAUUUCGGCAUGGAAUGCUGAAUAUGCUGCAGGCUGCACUGAGGCAGAAAAUACAGCACUCGCGCUGGGACCAGAGGGGUCUUUGGGAAGAGACCCUCGGCAUCAAGAGAACCAGGAGGGCGGCUGCUCAGCAUCAGCCCAGACACGAAGCCAAACGGUCUGACCGGAAGCCCCGUUUCCACAGCCAGAACCCUGAGAAAAGGAGCAGAGCUGACAGAAAUGACGACAUUGUCUGUAGCUCGACAAGGCCAGGAGGGCCACUGGCCAGGGUGGCCGCCAGCCUCUCACAGUUGACCUAUGGGAGGCCACCCAGAGGCCCUACCCAUGCCCAGCCACAAGGCCUCCCCUGCCUCCCGGCCAUGGGCUGGUGCAGAUGCCAGUUCCCCCAAGGAGUGCCACACCCUGGUCCAGAACUCAAGUGGCUGGCACAUUUCGCUAGGGACUUGGCACUCCCCUGCAGCCAGCUUCCUUCCCUAGCACCCACUGCCUCACGGUGGCUGACUGCGACCCUGAGCCUGGCCCGUCCCUCCCUGCUCUCCCCUGCACAUUCAUUAGUUAGCAGCCAUCCCUCCACUGAUUUCAAACCUUCAGGGCCCAUCUCUUCUAGAAGUUUCCAAACUGGCUUUGUGGACUUGCUGGGGUCUGCAAAGGCCCCUGGGGGAGGGCGGGCUGACCAAUAGCACCUGUUUAUUACUGGGAUGGCCAGGGGGAAGGCGCAGGUUGAGGACUGAGCUCAUCUGAAAUGAGUAUGUUAUCGACAGGCAAGCUGAGGUCCAGAGAGGACAGGGACAUUUCCAUCUGACCCCCUGUCCGGUGCUCCUUGCGCCUGUACUAUGCCCACUUCCUCUAAGAAAAGUCCACACCCCAACUGUGAAUGCCAAGAUGCCACCCUGGGCAGCACCAGUGCCUGGGAGCGCACCCAGCCUCCCUCAUUGCUGGGCACAGGGAGCCGUGUGUCCCCGGCUGCCUCUGAGGCUGCGAUUUAGGAGGCUGAAGCUGACCUUCCUCCCGCAGCUGGCACCACGUGUCCACAGUGAGAUAACAAUCACCUGGAAAUGACGUGUAUUCACCGUGUGCUUCAGGAGAACACACAGAAACUUAAUUGCUAGAAUUAAAAACUUAACUCUCUUUGCCUUUCAGCAAUUAAAACCGCAUUAGCUGCUUAUAUUCCCCUUGUACCAUUACUUUUGUGAAAAGAAAUUCUGAAUAUCUUCUCUUAAUGGAGGUAAAAUAUGGAUUAUCUCAAUGAAUUGCAUAUUUAUUCUGAUGAUCUUUGCAGUUUCUUUUCCUGCUUUAAAUCCUCCCCUACCCUCCUUAGAAAUGCUCAUGGUGUAACCUUUUGUUAGAUUUCCAGGAACAGCCUUCUGCUCUCUGAUAACUACAUGCUCAUUCCCACCAAAGCGGGAGCCCAACAAGGGGUAACAUGACUGGGUGCCAAGAGUGCUGGAUGGGACAUCCAGGAGCAGAUGGCGACAUCUCUCCUUCAGACCUUGUUACUCUGCUUUCAAUUAAAUUACUGAAAAGAGAGCGCACAAGUGCACACACAAGCACACACCACACACACACCACAUGCCACAACAUGCACAUUCAACGUACACCCACCACAUACACACCUCACACAUGUUCAGCUCACACCAGCCAGCAGUUCCCCAGAAACCCCAGCACACCUGCAGAAACGCAGACCACCCGGUCCCGACUUGGGCUGCACACCGAGUAGGACAGAAGCUAUGGGAAGGAGGAGAUGACCAGGCAACCAGGCCUGUGGGGAGACGCUGCCACAAGCAGUGAGGGAGUGAGGCUCGGCGGGGCUGCCCGGGAGGGAGCACUCAGGCCGGGUUUCCAACCGUGAUCGGAAGCUCGCUCCUGGCUAAGGCACUCCCCGAGACGCAGCUGGCACGGCCUCACUGUGCGGAUCAGCCCAUAUCAUGGUCUCACUGCGCCGAUCGGCCCGUGUCACGGCCUCACUGCGCGGAUCGGCCCGUGUCACGGCCUCACUGCGCCGAUGGGCUCAUGUCAACCCACCCAGUACCCCAGGGGUUUUCCAAUGCCUCAGGGAACUGCCCAGCCCCCUCAGCCUGCCCCCAGGCUCCGGGCAGUGCCCAUCUUCCACUCCUGCUCCUUCUGAAGCACCCUCCCGAGCCUCUGUCCCUGACGCGGAGGCCUCUCUGGGCCCCUUCAGCUGGGCUGGGCUCCUUCCUCACACCCACUCAGACCACCACUCGGCGUGCCAGGUUCCGGGCCGUGUGCUUCUGUGGUGGAGGCGAGUCUUCUCCCCGUGUGCAGGGCUCGGGUCUGAGGCUGCACACUGCACCCGCAGCGUCACCCAGUGAUGUGCCUGGCUUCCCAAAGAAAGGGGUGAGUGGCAAAUGCACGAAGGGAUGUGUGCAGUGCUGACUGAGAAAAGGAAAGGACAAGAGGAAGCGAGAGGCUUUGGACUCAGUCUCUCAAUGACGUCCGAGAAGCAUCUAGUCAGCAAAGUCCGGCCGACCCACCUUGUCUGCCCUCCUGAGUCACGCUGCUCAUGGCCCCGUCUUCUGCUAAGCCUUGCUCCAAAUUGGCCAGGAUCUGCAAUCAUUCCAAAUGAGAAGGACAAAAUCAUGGGAACCAAUUUUUGUCUAAGACUUUGUUAAAAUAUAUUCUCAGUACAGCAAAUUUCUCUGGAUGAAAACAAUUUGUCAAGGGAUGUUCACACACAUUUAAAAAAAUAUUAAAACAUUUGAUAUUUUAUUUUAAAUUGCAACUUCAUUUUAGAUUCAGGUGGUACGUGUGCAGGUUACCUGGGCUUACUGGGUGAUGCUGAGGUUGGGGGUAUGAUUGAAGCCAUCACCCGGGUAGUCAGCGUGGGACCCAACAGAUCGUUUUUCAGCCGUUCCUCCCAUCCCACCCUCCCCCGACUGGUAGUCCCUGGUGUCUAUUUUUUGCUUCUGUAGGUCCAUGUGAAUCCAAUGUUUAGCUUCUACUUAUAAGUGAAAACAUUCACUAUUUGGUUUUCUGUUUCUGUGUUAAUUCACUUAGGAUAAUGGCCUCCAGCUGCAUCCACGUUGCUACAAA